AACCGCUUUCAUCUUUCUUGGGUCAAACAUUCAGAACAACUUCAUUAUGGUCUGUGUUUCUGCAAGGUCUGUGUUUUUGCUUUUAUUUCUGAAUUCUGCAGUAUUGAGUAGCUCAAACUCUCUUUUGGUCAUCUAUUUUACUUAACUUACCUGUGCAGCUUAGGUAAAUUCCCAAGUUGCUGUCAAUUACUGCUGAAUCAUAUGUUUAAAUGCAUAAUUAGAGGAGAAUUACCCGUUAGCAGCACUUUAUUAUUCACAUUUAUAUUAUACCUGAUUUUACAUCAUAUAUAUCAGGCAUAAUGAGAUUCUUUCAACAUAUUUCUGACAGGGUGGAGUCUUUGUUACUAAAAACAGACUGAAGUACUGCUGAUGGACUGCUCAAUGUUAUGUGAAUGGAAAGAAUUGCUGUUGUACUAUUUGUUUAUAUUCAUUACAGUUUUUGUGUACUCACCUAGAAAACCUGUGUGUAAAUAUGAUAAUAUUCAUUGGUAGAUGAGAACACUGAUCCAACUCAAACACAGUAGUCAAAAUCCUGAAAAUCAUUCCAUAAAUCGUUGUCAGUUGUUGUAUAUAGUAGCUCUUUAAAGCACACAUUUGCCUUUUCAUUCACAUAGAAAGCAUUCACUUUAUUCACUGUGUGCCUUUGUGUUGCUUUCACACAUCUUCAGCAAUAAAAUCAUGUAAAGGCACCAGCAGAUGCACUUCCCCACGCAAACAGAUGCCUAUUGCAAGUAUAAAAACUGUAUUUUAUGUACAUAGUCACAUAUCUGCUUGGGCAUUGAAUUUUUUUUAUGUGGCCUUUCAAAAAUCUUGUGGCUCAGGUUGGUGGACUGAAAACAUGGGAUGUUGUAAAUAUCACUCAGUUAACCUUCACCCACUCCUACUGUCUGAAAUCUUUACCUUUUAGAAGACCUUUUGAUAGUUAAAUUAUUAGUACUGUAGUGAUGAACAUUGUUUUGCACCUAGAUAUCUUUUACUGUAUCUGUAUUAUUUUGAUUUGAUGGCUGAAUAUACUGUUGUGGCCUCAUGAAACUAUCAUACUUUUCCAGAAUUUACAUGUUAGGAUUAUUUUCAUUAGUGGUUGCAUUUUAGAGCACAGAGCAUAAUGUAAUUUUUGUAAUAGUGAUGGUGUUGGAAUGCUACUUUUGCUGGAGAAAUAUAAAUUGUGGUGGUU
ensembl:lncRNA